rnacentral:rRNA from 1 species
GGUUCGAUUAUGGCUCAGAUUGAACGCUGGCGGGAUGUUUACACAUGCAAGUCGAACGGCAGCACGGACUUCGGUCUGGUGGCGAGGCGAACGGUGGGUGAGUAAUGUAUCGGAACGUGCCUUAGUAGCGGGGGAUAACUACGCGAAAGCGUAGCCAAUACCGCAUACGCCCUUCGGGGAAAGCGGGGGGACCUUCGGGCCGCGCACUAUUAGAGCGGCCGAUAUCGGAUUAGCUAGUUGGUGGGGUAACGGCUCACCAAGGCGAUCCGUAGCUGGUUUGAGAGGACGACCAGCCACACUGGGACUGGGAGAUGACGGCCCAGACUUGCCGGGAGGCAGCAGUGGGGAAUUUUGGAUAAUGGGAAACUGAUCCAGCCAUCCUGGGCGUGUGGCGAUGAAGGCCUUCGGUUAGAAAGCACUUCUUUGGCAGGAAAGAAACGGCACGGGAUAAUACCCCGUACCCGACGUACCGCACACCGGCUAACUACGUGCCAGCAGCCGCGUAAUACGUAGGCAAGCGUUAACUGGAAUUAUCAUGCAGCGCGCAGGCGGUUCUGGAAAGAAAGAUGAAAUCCCAGAGCUUAACUUUGGAAUCGCAUUUUAACUGUAUCGAGCUAGAGUGUCAGAGGUGGAGGUGGAAUUCCCGCGUGUAGCAGUGAAAUGCGUAGAUAUGCAGGAGGAACACCGAUGGCGAAGGCAGCCUCCUGGGAUAACACUGACGCUCAUGCACGAAAGCGUGGGGAGCAACAGGAUUAGAUACCCUGGCAAAAUCCACGCCUGCACCACGUCAACUAGCCAAGUUGGGGCCUUCGGGCCUUGGUAGCGCAGUUAUCGCGUGAAGUUGACCGCCUGGGGAGUACGACCGCAAGAUUAAAACUCAAAGGAAUGACGGGGGGACUCGCACAAGCGGUGGAUGAUGUGGAUUAAUUGAUGCAACGCGAAAAACCUUACCUACCCUUGACAUGUCUGAAUCCUGAAGAGAUUUGGGAGUGCUCGCAAGAGAACCGGAACACAGUGCUGCAUGCUGUCGUCAGUCGUCGAGAUGUUGGGUUAAGUCCCGCAACGAGCGUAACCCUUGUCAUUAGUUACUACGAAAGGGCACUCUAUCGAGACUGCCGGUGACAAACCGGGAGGAAGGUGGGAUGUCAAGUCCUCAUGGCCCUUAUGGGUAGGGCUUCACACGUCAUACAAUGGUCGGGACAGAGGGUCGCCAACCCGCGAGGGGGAGCUAAUCCCAGAAACCUGAUCGUAGUCCGGAUCGCAGUCUGCAACUCGACUGCGUGAAGUCAAAAUCCAGUACCGCGGAUCAGCAUGUCGCGGUGAAUACGUUCCCGGUCUUGUACACACCGCCUGUCACACCGUUAGAGUGGGUUUUACCAGAAGUAGUUAGCCUAACGUAAGAGGGCGAUUACCACGGUAGAUUCAGACUGGGGUGAAGUCGUAAACAAGCA